AUAUAUUGUCAAGUGGUUUUGAUAUUUUAUUUGAAUUGUACAGAUGUAAAUAGAAUGUACAUAGAUUAAUUCUUCGCGAUACAUAUGCGCAUCUAUUUUCCAAUGCUCACUCAUUAUAUCUUAUUAUAUAAUAAACCCUGUAUUUGCUCAAAUGUUCAUAUUUAUUUCUGAAUUAAACGUGCUGUGAUCAAC
rnacentral:misc_RNA from 1 species